rnacentral:rRNA from 1 species
UACAUGGGGUGCAAACGUUGCUCGGAAUUAUUGGGCGUAAAGCGCACGUAGGCGGUUUGUUAAGUCGGAUGUGAAAUCCCUCGGCUCAACUGAGGAAGUGCAUCCGAAACUGGCAGGCUUGAGUACUAAAGAGGGUCGCGGAAUUCCCGGUGUAGCGGUGAAAUGCGUAGAGAUCGGGAGGAACACCCGUGGCGAAGGCGGCCAUCUGGACCAGCACUGACGCUGAGGCACGAAAGCGUGGGGAGCAAACAGG